rnacentral:rRNA from 1 species
AGCCAAUCUCAGUUCGGAUUGUAGGCUGCAACUCGCCUACAUGAAGUUGGAAUCGCUAGUAAUCGCGAAUCAGAAUGUCGCGGUGAAUACGUUCCCGGGCCUUGUACACACCGCCCGUCAAGCCAUGGGAGCCGGGGGUGCCUGAAGGCCGUGACCGCGAGGAGCGGCCUAGGGUAAAACUGGUGACUGGGGCUAAGUCGUAACAAGGUACC